rnacentral:rRNA from 1 species
AGAGUUUGAUCCUGGCUCAGGAUGAACGCUGGCGGCAUGCCUAAUACAUGCAAGUCGAACGAGAGGAAGGAAAGCUUGCUUUUCUGAAUCUAGUGGCGAACGGGUGAGUAACACGUAGGUAACCUGCCCAUGUGCCCGGGAUAACUUCUGGAAACGGAUGCUAAAACCGGAUAGGUAGCAGACAAGCAUUUGACUGCUAUUAAAGUGGCUUUGGCCAUGAACAUGGAUGGACCUGCGGUGCAUUAGCUGGUUGGUGAGGUAACGGCCCACCAAGGCGACGAUGCAUAGCCGGCCUGAGAGGGCGGACGGCCACAUUGGGACUGAGACACGGCCCAAACUCCUACGGGAGGCAGCAGUAGGGAAUUUUCGUCAAUGGGGGGAACCCUGAACGAGCAAUGCCGCGUGAGUGAGGAAGGUCUUCGGAUCGUAAAGCUCUGUUGUAAGAGAAAAACGGCACUCAUAGGGAAUGAUGAGUGAGUGAUGGUAUCUUACCAGAAAGUCACGGCUAACUACGUGCCAGCAGCCGCGGUAAUACGUAGGUGGCGAGCGUUAUCCGGAAUGAUUGGGCGUAAAGGGUGCGUAGGUGGCAGAUCAAGUCUGGAGUAAAAGGUAUGGGCUCAACCCGUACUGGCUCUGGAAACUGAUCAGCUAGAGAACAGAAGAGGACGGCGGAACUCCAUGUGUAGCGGUAAAAUGCGUAGAUAUAUGGAAGAACACCGGUGGCGAAGGCGGCCGUCUGGUCUGGAUUCUGACACUGAAGCACGAAAGCGUGGGGAGCAAAUAGGAUUAGAUACCCUAGUAGUCCACGCCGUAAACGAUGAGAACUAGGUGUUGGGGGAAUAACUCAGUGCCGCAGUUAACGCAGUAAGUUCUCCGCCUGGGGAGUAUGCACGCAAGUGUGAAACUCAAAGGAAUUGACGGGGGCCCGCACAAGCGGUGGAGUAUGUGGUUUAAUUCGAAGCAACGCGAAGAACCUUACCAGGCCUUGACAUCCCUUGCAGAGGUAUAGAGAUAUAUCCGAGGUUAUCAAGGAGACAGGUGGUGCAUGGUUGUCGUCAGCUCGUGUCGUGAGAUGUUGGGUUAAGUCCCGCAACGAGCGCAACCCUUGUGAUAUGUUACUAACAUUGAGUUGAGGACUCAUAUCAGACUGCCGGUGAUAAACCGGAGGAAGGUGGGGAUGACGUCAAAUCAUCAUGCCC